AGAGUUUGAUCAUGGCUCAGAACGAACGCUGGCGGCGUGGAUAAGACAUGCAAGUCGAGCGCCGAUCAUAGGGUAGCAAUAUUCUGAGGUCGGAGCGGCGCAAGGGUGCGUAACACGUGGGUAAUCUGCCAUGAAGUUCGGGAUAACUUGCUGAAAGGCGAGCUAAUACCGGAUGUGACAACUGGAAGACAUCUUCUGGUUGUUAAAGUUGGGGACCGUAAGGCCUGACGCUUCUUGAUGAACCCGCGGCCUAUCAGCUAGUUGGUGAGGUAACGGCCCACCAAGGCUAAGACGGGUAGCUGGUCUGAGAGGACGACCAGCCACACUGGAACUGAGACACGGUCCAGACACCUACGGGUGGCAGCAGUCGAGAAUUUUUCACAAUGGGCGCAAGCCUGAUGGAGCGACGCCGCGUGGGGGAUGAAUGGCUUCGGCCCGUAAACCCCUGUCAUUUGCGAUCAAACGUUAUUAUUUAAAAGAUGAUAACCUGAUAGUAGCGAAAGAGGAAGGGACGGCUAACUCUGUGCCAGCAGCCGCGGUAAUACAGAGGUCCCAAGCGUUGUUCGGAUUCACUGGGCGUAAAGGGUGCGUAGGUGGUGAGGUAAGUCGGAUGUGAAAGCUCGGAGCUCAACUCCGAAAUGGCAUUGGAAACUACCUUGCUCGAGGGUUGGAGGGGGGACUGGAAUACUUGGUGUAGCAGUGAAAUGCGUAGAUAUCAAGUGGAACACCAGUGGCGAAGGCGAGUCCCUGGACAACUCCUGACACUGAGGCACGAAAGCUAGGGGAGCAAACAGGAUUAGAUACCCUAGUAGUCC
rnacentral:rRNA from 1 species